UACAGAGGUCUCAAGCGUUGUUCGGAUUCAUUGGGCGUAAAGGGUGCGUAGGCGGCGCGGUAAGUCGGGUGUGAAAUUUCGAGGCUUAACUUCGAAACUGCAUUCGAUACUGCCGUGCUUGAGGACUGGAGAGGAGACUGGAAUUUACGGUGUAGCGGUGAAAUGCGUAGAUAUCGGGAGGAACACCGGUGGCGAAGGCGGGUUCUCUGGGCCUGACCUGACGCUGAGGAGCGAAAGCGUGGGGAGCGAACAGG
rnacentral:rRNA from 1 species